GACGAACGCUGGCGGCGUGCCUAAUACAUGCAAGUCGAACGCAGUGGGGACGGGUGAGUAACACGUGGGUAACCUCCCAUCAGAGGGGAUAACACUUGGAAACAGGUGCUAAACCGAUACUGAUGGAUGGACCCGCGGGGCAUUAGCUGGUUGGAGAGGUAACUGCGCACCAAGGCCACGAGGCAUAGCCGCCCGGAGAGGGUGAUCGGCCACACUGGGUCGGAGACACGGCCCAGGCUCCUACGGGAGGCAGCAGUAGGGAAUCUUCGGCAAUGGACGAAAGUCUGAACGAGCAACGCCGCGUGAAGGAAGACGGUCUUCGGAUUGUAAACUUCUUUAGACAGGGACGCGGUACCUGUAGAAUAAGCCACGGCUAACUACGUGCCAGCAGCCGCGGUAAUAC
rnacentral:rRNA from 1 species